rnacentral:rRNA from 1 species
UACGGAGGGUGCGAGCGUUAUCCGGAAUUACUGGGUUUAAAGGGUGCGCAGGCGGCCAUUUAAGUCAGAAGUGAAAGACCCCCGCUUAACGGGGGAGCUGCUUUUGAUACUGAGUGGCUCGGAUUAGGAUGAGGUCGGCGGAAUGUGACAUGUAGCGGUGAAAUGCAUAGAUAUGUCAUGGAACACCAAUUGCGUAGGCAGCCGGCUGGACCUAUAUCGACGCUGAGGCACGAAAGCGUGGGGAGCGAAC